rnacentral:rRNA from 1 species
UACGUAGGGGGCUAGCGUUAUCCGGAAUUACUGGGCGUAAAGGGUGCGUAGGUGGUUUCUUAAGUCAGAGGUGAAAGGCUACGGCUCAACCGUAGUAAGCCUUUGAAACUGGGAAACUUGAGUGCAGGAGAGGAGAGUGGAAUUCCUAGUGUAGCGGUGAAAUGCGUAGAUAUUAGGAAGAACACCAGUUGCGAAGGCGGCUCUCUGGACUGUAACUGACACUGAGGCACGAAAGCGUGGGGAGCAAACAGG